rnacentral:misc_RNA from 1 species
AAGUCGUAACAAGGUUUCCGUAGGUGAACCUGCGGAAGGAUCAUUAAUUGAGUUAGGGGUUCUCCCGGGGCCCCGGACCCUCCCAACCCCUUUUCGUUUCAAAACCCAAUUUGUUGCUUUGGCGUGGCCGCCCCGCGGGGCGCCCGGUCUUAGGCCCGGCAUGCGCCCCGCCAGAGGAAAAUCCAAACCUCUUGUUUACCAAAGCCCGUACGUCUGAGUAAACUGAUUAAAUUCAAUCAAAA